UAGGGAAUCUUCGGCAAUGGGGGGAACCCUGACCGAGCAACGCCGCGUGAGUGAAGAAGGUUUUCGGAUCGUAAAGCUCUGUUGUUAAGGAAGAACGAGUGUGAGAAUGGAAAGUUCAUAAUGUGACGGUACUUAACCAGAAAGGGACGGCUAACUACGUGCCAGCAGCCGCGGUAAUACGUAGGUGGCAAGCGUUGUCCGGAUUUAUUGGGCGUAAAGCGAGCGCAGGCGGUCAAUUAAGUCUGAUGUGAAAGCCCCCGGCUCAACCGGGGAGGGUCAUUGGAAACUGGUUGACUUGAGUGCAGAAGAGGAGAGUGGAAUUCCAUGUGUAGCGGUGAAAUGCGUAGAUAUAUGGAGGAACACCAGUGGCGAAGGCGACUCUCUGGUCUGUAACUGACGCUGAGGUUCGAAAGCGUGGGUAGCAAACAGG
rnacentral:rRNA from 1 species